rnacentral:lncRNA from 1 species
AACAAAAUAUGCAGCAUCUGGGUGGCUGAGUAGCUUAAGCAUCCAAGUUUGUCUCAAGUCAUGAUCUCACAGUUUGUGAGUUCGAGCCCAGCAUCAGGCUCUGUGCUGACAAAUCAGAGCCCAGACCCUGCUUUAGAUUCUGUGUCUCCUUCUCUCUGCCCUUCCCCCACUCACCCUCUGUCUCUCUCUUUCUCUCUCUCUCUCAAGAAAAAAAGAAAAGAAAAAGGAAAGAAAAGCAAAGAAAAGAAGAAAAAAGGCAAAAAUGUGAAUUUGAAGCUUUUUUUCCUUGAUGUGAUUUUUCUACUCCGAUUUAAUGAAUUAAAAAGUGAAGCAAAUUGGAAAAUGAAAAUGGUGGAAAAUACAAGUGUAAUUUCUUUGGAUACUUUUAUAGAUAAUGUUAGAAGGACUGACUAUUACUUGAAGUACCCAGCAUCGUCUUCAACAUUCUCCUCAAAUCCUGCCACUGUGCAAGCAUUAUUCUUUGUAUUCAUGAACAUUUUACAUUAUUCCAUGAUGAAGAAUCUAUACCUCUAGAGAAGCCUGCUAUGCUCAUCUUUCUGGUCAUGAAACAUAUCUGUUAUCAGUGCUUUAAAAUGGACCAUGUGAGCACUGGGUAUUGUAUAUUCUCUGGUGUUGCCCAAACUUACUGUUUGAAAGCUACAGCACUGAAUUAUAUUUCUGUCCUGGAGAAAGCUAUCAACCUUGGAACACUCUUUUCUCUGAACCCCAACAUUUCUAAAAACUUCUUUAUUCUAAGAAAGAGAAGGUAAGUGUGUCUUAUUUUGUUGAGAAAAACUCUGUAGAAGAGGUAGCGUAUUUAUCCAACAUUUCCCAAUAGGGAACAAAACAAAAAGAAAAACAAAACUUAGACUUGACAAUUCAAGGUAAGUUGAAAGUUACAAGGUUUGUCACAAACUAAGAGGCAAAAUAUUCCUGAUCUUUAAAAUUAUUGAACAAUGUUAAGAAGUCUUCUAUGAGGUCAUGACAUAUAAAUAUCUGAGCAGAGAUCAGAUGUCUGGUAUGUAUAAGAGAACUUUCAUAGAGUCUGAGAGACUUGGCUGCAUCUAAGUAGUGUGUUCAUUAGUAGGGGGUGAAUGACAAAAAAAAUAGUCUACUAAUUUAUGUGGAGGUUAAUUGUGGUUUAGAGCCAACAGUGCCUGGUUAAUACAUCACAGCUCAGAGCCUAAAUUAAUUUGAUUAAAAACCAUGUUGUUUUUGCAAAUUAAUUUUCUCCACGUGUUGCUUUCUGGUGUGUCAAGACACAGCAGUGUCCUGAUUAAAAACUCACUAGUUCAGUAUAUGUGCAUAUCUUUGACUUAGAAAAAAAAUACAAAACAAAACCGUAAACAAGGCGCUUGUAGUUAUUUGCAGUUGUACUUUUAGUGCCCAACAUCCCAUCAAUCAUUCUACGCAGAGGAACAAUUCCACCUUGGUGUACCAGAAAGUUUGUACAAGUUCACAGGGACCACGUUGGCAAGGAUUGACUGCAGUCUACCUCAAGUCUGUAAAAUACCUCGUAUUCUCUGAAACAGGUAGGGAAAGAUAACAAGCUUGGUGAGGAGUUGCCACGAGGUCAUUUCUCAUCCACCUCUUUACCUCGAGGAAACUGCCACAAGUUGUUUCUGGUCCAUCUCCCUAGUUUCAUUUGAACUCAAGACUUUCACCUUAUCCUUCUCUAAUGCUUUAAAAAAACUUCUUGGCUUAGUAUUCAGCAUUGACUCUUCAAUGUCAGAGCAAACUACCAAGCAUGCUGCAUGUUUCCUGGCCUUUUUGAGUUAGUAUCUUCCUGUGGGUCUUGGGACACAGAAGCUGACAAAAUGCUGACCUUGCCACUGCCAGCUGUGUAAGUAAUAAAUUGUCUGAAUUCAUAUGGGAUACUGUCUCC